AGAGUUUGAUCAUGGCUCAGAAUGAACGUUGGCGGCGUGGAUUAGGCAUGCAAGUCGAGCGAGAACCGUAGCAAUACGGGGACAGCGGCGAAAGGGACAGUAAUGUGUAGAUUAUCUACCCUCAGGUCCGGGAUAGCUGCGGGAAACUGCAGGUAAUACCGGAUAACAUCUCCGGAUCAAAGGUGUGAUUCCGCCUGAGGAUGAGUCUGCAUCCUAUUAGCUAGUUGGUGAGGUAAUGGCUCACCAAGGCUGUGAUGGGUAGCAGGUGUGAGAGCACGACCUGCGUCAUUGGGACUGAGACACUGCCCAGACACCUACGGGUGGCUGCAGUCGAGAAUCUUCGGCAAUGGGCGCAAGCCUGACCGAGCGACGCCGCGUGUGGGAUGAAGGCCUUCGGGUUGUAAACCACUGUCAGAGGGGAUGAAAUGCAGGUGGGUUCUCCCAUCUGUUUGACAUAGCCUCAGA
rnacentral:rRNA from 1 species